GCUUGGGUAGCUCAGUUGGUAGAGCACGCCGGCCGGAGACCGCGCGACUGCCACGGUCGCAGGUUCGAAUCCUGCCUCGGGCA